rnacentral:tRNA from 1 species
GAGGUUAUAGCUCAGUUUGGUUAGAGCAUCGGUUUGUGGUACCGAGGGUCGUGGGUUCAAGUCCCAUUAGCCUCC